GCAUAUCAAUAAGCGGAGGAAAAGAAACUAACAAGGAUUCCCCUAGUAACGGCGAGUGAAGCGGGAAGAGCUCAAAUUUGAAAUCUAGUAGCCUUCGGCUGCUCGAGUUGUAAUCUAGAGAAGUGUUUUCCGUGCCGGCCCAUGUACAAGUCCCUUGGAACAGGGCGUCAUAGAGGGUGAGAAUCCCGUCCUUGACAUGGACCCCCGGUGCUCUGUGAUACACUUUCAACGAGUCGAGUUGUUUGGGAAUGCAGCUCAAAAUGGGUGGUGAAUUCCAUCUAAAGCUAAAUAUUGGCGAGAGACCGAUAGCGAACAAGUACCGUGAGGGAAAGAUGAAAAGCACUUUGGAAAGAGAGUUAAACAGUACGUGAAAUUGUUGAAAGGGAAACGAUUGAAGUCAGUCAUGCUCUUUGGUAUUUAUAUCAUUGAGUGGGGUCAACAUCAGUUUUGAUCGAUGGAUAAAGGCACUAGGAAGGUAGCACUCUCGGGUGAACUUAUAGCCUGGCGUCAUAUACAUUGAUUGGGACUGAGGAACGCAGCAUGCCUUUAUGGCCGGGAUUCGUCCACGUACAUGCUUAGGAUGUUGACAUAAUGGCUUUAAACGACCCGUCUUGAAACACGGACC
rnacentral:rRNA from 1 species